GACGUAGGGCGCGAGCGUUGUCCGGAUUUAUUGGGCGUAAAGAGCUCGUAGGCGGUUUGUCGCGUCGUCCGUGAAAACUCACAGCUUAACUGUGAGCUUGCGGUCGAUACGGGCAGGCUAGAGUUCGGUAGGGGAGACUGGAAUUCCUGGUGUAGCGGUGAAAUGCGCAGAUAUCAGGAGGAACACCGGUGGCGAAGGCGGCCGCCUGGGCCUUUGCUGACGCUGAGCCGCGAAAGCGUGGGGAGCGAGCCGG
rnacentral:rRNA from 1 species